rnacentral:rRNA from 1 species
AGCCUGAACGCUGGCGGCGUGGCUAAGACAUGCAAGUCGCACGGGGUAGCAAUACCCAGUGGCGAACGGGAGAGUAAUGAAUCGCUAACGUGCCCCGGACUCUGGGAUAGCCAUCCGAAAGGAUGGGUAAUACCAGAUGACACCACCCUCCGCAUGGCGGGGUGUUCAAAGGUCCGCCGGU